ACAGCCCUGGCCUGAGGCCCAGACUGGGACACAGCUGGACUGUGGCACACUCCUGUCCCCCCUCAGCCACUCUGCCUGAGGUCACUGCAGCUCUCUGGGGUGACAUUGCCCUAGGGAUGAGGAAAGCUUCCAGCCCCAGCCUCCACCGCACUGCAGCCUUACAGGGGCUGGAGGUGCCCCACAGCGGUGGGUGAGGAGAACUCCGUGCCACCCACCCUCCCUUUUCCUAUGUGAAAAUCUCAAAAUAAAAUCUUCUGAUUGAUGAACCCA
rnacentral:lncRNA from 1 species